UAAUACCAGCUCCUCGAGUGGUCGGGGCGAUUAUUGGGCCUAAAGCAUCCGUAGCCUGUUCUGUAGGUCCUCUGUCAAAUCCAACGGCUUAACCGUUGGCCCGCAGAGGAUACCGCAGGACUAGGAGGCGGGAGAGGUGGACGGUACUCCACGUGUAGGGGUAAAAUCCUUUGAUCCGUGGAAGACCACCAGUGGCGAAGGCGGUCCACCAGAACGCGCUCGACGGUGAGGGAUGAAAGCUGGGGGAGCGAACCGGAUUAGAUACCCGGGUAGUCCCAGCCGUAAACGAUGCAAGCUAGAUGAUCCGGUCGCAAAUCGCGAUCGGAGUGUCGCAGGGAAGCCGUUAAGCUUGCCGCCUGGGGAGUACGGUCGCAAGACUGAAACUUAAAG
rnacentral:rRNA from 1 species